CCCGCACAAGCAGCGGAGCGUGUGGUUUAAUUCGAUGUUACACGAAGAACCUUACCAGGGUUUGACAUGCAAGUGGUAGGAAACCGAAAGGUGACCGACCCUUCGGGGAGCUUGCACAGGUGCUGCAUGGCUGUCGUCAGCUCGUGUCGUGAGAUGUUCGGUUAAGUCCGCUAACGAGCGCAACCCUCGCUGUGUGUUAUAUGUGUCACACGGGACUGCCGGUCUUAAGCCGGAGGAAGGUGGGGAUGAUGUCAAGUCAGCAUGGCCUUUAUAUCCUGGGCUACACACGUGCUACAAUGGUCGGUACAAAGGGUUGCCAAGCCGCGAGGUGGAGCUAAUCCCAUAAAACCGAUCGUAGUCCGGAUCGCAGUCUGCAACUCGACUGCGUGAAGUCGGAAUCGCUAGUAAUCGUGAAUCAGAAUGUCACGGUGAAUACGUUCCCGGGCCUU
rnacentral:rRNA from 1 species